UACGAAGGGUGCAAGCGUUACUCGGAAUUACUGGGCGUAAAGCGUGCGUAGGUGGUGAGUUAAGUCUGUCGUGAAAGCCCCGGGCUCAACCUGGGAAUGGCGAUGGAUACUGGCUCGCUAGAGUGCGGUAGAGGAGAGUGGAAUUCCCGGUGUAGCAGUGAAAUGCGUAGAGAUCGGGAGGAACACCGAUGGCGAAGGCAGGUCUCUGGGCAUUAACUGACGCUGAGGAGCGAAAGCAUGGGGAGCGAACAGG
rnacentral:rRNA from 1 species